rnacentral:rRNA from 1 species
CUGGUAGUAGUCAAGCGAUGGGGUGACGCAGGAAGGUAGUGGGGCCAGUCAGUGGUUGUACUGGUGUAAGCCUGUAGGGCGAGAUCUAGGCAAAUCCGGAUCUCACAUAGCCUGAGAGGUGAUGCGUAGCCGUUGCGGUGAAUUCCAUGAUCCUAUGCUGCCGAGAAAAGCCUCUAGCGAGAUCUGAUGUGGCCCGUACCCCAAACCAACACAGGUGGUCAGGUAGAGAAUACCAAGGAGAUCGAGAGAACUGUGGUUAAGGAACUCGGCAAAAUGCCCCCGUAACUUCGGGAGAAGGGGGACCUCGCAUUGUGACCGGAUUUACUCCGUGAGCGGUGUGGGGUCGCAGAGACCAGAGAGAAGCGACUGUUUACUAAAAACACAGGUCCAUGCGAAGUCGUAAGACGAUGUAUAUGGACUGACGCCUGCCCGGUGCUGGAAGGUUAAGAGGACCGGUUAGCCGUAAGGCGAAGCUGAGAAUUUAAGCCCCAGUAAACGGCGGUGGUAACUAUAACCAUCCUAAGGUAGCGAAAUUCCUUGUCGGGUAAGUUCCGACCUGCACGAAUGGCGUAACGACUUCUCUGCUGUCUCAACCACAGACUCGGCGAAAUUGCAGUACGAGUAAAGAUGCUCGUUACGCGCGGCAGGACGAAAAGACCCCGGGACCUUCACUAUAGCUUGGUAUUGGUGUUCGGUUCGGUUUGUGUAGGAUAGGUGGGAGACUGUGAAGCGGGCACGCCAGUGUUCGUGGAGUCGUUGUUGAAAUACCACUCUGAUCGUAUUGGAUACCUCAACCUCGGACCAUGAUCUGGUUCAGGGACAGUGCCUGGUGGGUAGUUUAACUGGGGCGGUUGCCUCCCAAAAUGUAACGGAGGCGCCCAAAGGUUCCCUCAGCCUGGUUGGCAAUCAGGUGUUGAGUGCAAGUGCACAAGGGAGCUUGACUGUGAGACUGACAGGUCGAGCAGGGACGAAAGUCGGGACUAGUGAUCCGGCACCGGCAAGUGGAAGCGGUGUCGCUCAACGGAUAAAAGGUACCCCGGGGAUAACAGGCUGAUCUUCCCCAAGAGUCCAUAUCGACGGGAUGGUUUGGCACCUCGAUGUCGGCUCGUCGCAUCCUGGGGCUGGAGUAGGUCCCAAGGGUUGGGCUGUUCGCCCAUUAAAGCGGCACGCGAGCUGGGUUUAGAACGUCGUGAGACAGUUCGGUCUCUAUCCGCCGCGCGCGUUAGAAUCUUGAGGAAGGCUGUCCCUAGUACGAGAGGACCGGGACGGACGAACCUCUGGUGUGCCAGUUGUUCCACCAGGAGCACGGCUGGUUGGCUACGUUCGGAAGGGAUAACCGCUGAAAGCAUCUAAGCGGGAAGCCUGUUCCAAGAUUAGGAUUCUCACCACCUUGAGU